rnacentral:rRNA from 1 species
UACGGAGGGGCUAGGCGUUGUUCGGAAUUACUGGGCGUAAAGCGCGCGUAGGCGGCUUUGUAAGUUAGAGGUGAAAGCCCAGGGCUCAACCCUGGAAACUUGGCCUUUAAGCACUGUCAUCGCUCGAACAUCGGAGAGGUAAGUGGAAUUCCGAGUGUAGAGGUAGAAAUUCGUAGAUAUUCGGAAAGAACACCAGUGGCGAAGGCGACUUACUGGACGAUUGUUGACGCUGAGGUGCGAAAGCGUGGGGAGCAAACAGGAUUAAGAUACCCCGU